UGGGGAAUUUUGCGCAAUGGGGGAAACCCUGACGCAGCAACGCCGCGUGAGUGAUGAAGGCCUUCGGGUCGUAAAGCUCUGUCGGAGGGGAAGAAAUGUAGUGCGGUCAAUACCCGCUCUACUUGACGGUACCCUCAGAGGAAGCACCGGCUAACUCCGUGCCAGCAGCCGCGGUAAUACGGAGGGUGCAAGCGUUGUUCGGAUUUAUUGGGCGUAAAGGGCGUGCAGGCGGUCUCGCAAGUCCGAUGUGAAAGCCCCGGGCUUAACCCGGGAAGUGCAUCGGAAACCGCGAGACUUGAGUACGGGAGAGGGCAGUGGAAUUCCUGGAGUAGGGGUGAAAUCCGUAGAUAUCAGGAAGAACACCGGUGGCGAAGGCGGCUGCCUGGACCGAUACUGACGCUGAGACGCGAAAGCGUGGGGAGCAAACA
rnacentral:rRNA from 1 species